UUCAGACAGUACAGAAAUAUAAAUGGUACAGGGUUAGUUAGUAAAGACAAAGAAAAGAUUCUAGAAAGUACUUAGCACAUCAGUUGAUUUCUUGUUGCGGGGGCUUUGGAGCAAAGUCCUAAGGAUGACUAUGAGCAUCUGAUUUCAAGACGGGAAGAGAGAGUCAAGAGGAAGAACACACAGACAAGCGAAUUCCAGAAGACACAGAGAGAACCUGGAGAAUGGGGGAUGACUCAGAGAUGACGAUGUCAUCAGUGAGAAAGCUGAAGACUAGGAAGUGACCGCCUAGCAGGAAGAGAGACCUACACCCAGUGAGGCUUGUGCCCUAGGUCUCGGGAUGUGUGUGAAGUAAGUUGGUCUCCAGGUUCCCGAGAGAAUGUGUGUGUAGAGAUUUACCACAUAGCUGGCUCAGUUUGUUGCAUCCAAGCCCAGAGUAUGAAGAAGCCAUGUUCUAAGGCACAUGUCCCCGCCAGCAUGUGCUUGGGGCAAAAGAAGGACCCUUCAAAUACCAAGAGGCUGUGGCUGAUGAGUUGCAGACAGCAAGAACAUACAGCAAGGGGAAGGACACUGUGCUGUUUGACACCCUCUCCCCACACACAGAGAGUCAUCAAGGACACUAAGACAACAAGCAAAUCUCUUCAAGUCACAGAGAAGGAUCUUGCUGAAAAGAAUUAGUGAAAAUUUCCCCAAUGGUGGACCCAUUGUCCGUUACAUGCAGCAGCCUGAGACUGCACAUAUGUCCAGAGGAGCUGAAGUCAGAGUGUUGAAGAGAGCUCAUGCUUACUGUACCAGGAUCCACAACAGCUAAGACAUGGAGCCUACAAAGUCUCUAGCUACAGAUGGAUCGAUGAGAGGAUUUAAACCUCAAGUUGUUGGCCAUGUCAGAUUCCUCCUUUGUUCUGUGUAAGCCUCUCCUGAGUAUGGCAACUUGGACCCAGAAGAUGUGUGGUAUACUAUGCCUGGUGCUGGAAAUAAGAAGGGAUCCACUCUUUGCUGUGCAUACAGUAGGUUGUUAUCCAAGUACAAAGAAGAAUAAAAUCCUGUCAUUUGCAACAACUA